rnacentral:misc_RNA from 1 species
GAUGAAGAACGUAGCAAAAUGCGAUAAGUAAUGUGAAUUGCAGAAUUCAGUGAAUCAUCGAAUCUUUGAACGCACAUUGCGCCCGCCAGUAUUCUGGCGGGCAUGCCUGUUCGAGCGUCAUUUCAACCCUCAAGCCCUCGGGUUUGGUGUUGGGGAUCGGCGAGCCUUUCUGGCAAGCCGGCCCCGAAAUCUAGUGGCGGUCUCGCUGCAGCCUCCAUUGCGUAGUAGUAAAACCCUCGCAACUGGAACGCGGCGCGGCCAAGCCGUUAAACCCCCCACUUCUGAAUGUUGACCUCGGAUCAGGUAGGAAUACCCGCUGAACUUAAGCAUAUCAAUAAGCGGAGGA